rnacentral:lncRNA from 1 species
AUGGAAACCUUAAAAAACAAAAAAAUAAAUAUGAACAAAAAUAGCGUUGUAUCUAAAGCUAAAUUAACAGACAUUAUACGAAAUCCAAAUUAUACUGAAAACUAUAUAGGGUAUGCAAUCCAAGCAGAUGGAAACAAUUUAAAAGUUGUUCCAGAUAAUAAAGAUAUCAAAAGUAAAAAAAAGAAUCACGACAAUGAAGUAGAUUUACAACUAAAAAACCUCAUAGAACAUUUGUAUAGCAUUAAAUUCAAAUUAGAAAAAGAAAAACAAAAAGAAAAGGAAAAAAAAGUAACUCCUCCUUCAGAUCGUAAAUAUUUACUUAAGGAAAAAGAAAACAGUACGAACGGUCAGAAAAAAUCAAUUGGCAUAAAAAAUAAUACACUAGAACAAAAAUGCAAGGAGAGUGAUAAGUUAGCAGAGACUGCUAUUCCUAAUGUAAGAAUAAGAAAAAACAAAAAAACCAAAAAAUAAAACCAAAAAAUAAAACCAAAAAAUUGAUAUAUAUCUAUGUUAAU